rnacentral:rRNA from 1 species
GACGAACGCUGGCGGCGUGCUUAACACAUGCAAGUCGAACGAAAAGAGGGAAAGAGCUUGCUCUUUUCAGAAUUGAGUGGCAAACGGGUGAGUAACACGUAAACAACCUGCCUUCAGGAUGGGGACAACAGACGGAAACGAGUGCUAAUACCGAAUAAGUUCCAAGAGCCGCAUGGCCCAUGGAAGAAAAGGUGGCCUCUACCUGUAAGCUAUCGCCUGAAGAGGGGUUUGCGUCUGAUUAGCUGGUUGGAGGGGUAACGGCCCACCAAGGCGACGAUCAGUAGCCGGUCUGAGAGGAUGAACGGCCACACUGGAACUGAGACACGGUCCAGACUCCUACGGGAGGCAGCAGUGGGGAAUCUUCCGCAAUGGGCGAAAGCCUGACGGAGCAACGCCGCGUGAGUGAUGACGGCCUUCGGGUUGUAAAACUCUGUGAUCCGGGACGAAAAGGCAGAGUGCGAAGAACAAACUGCAUUGACGGUACCGGAAAAGCAAGCCACGGCUA